AUACGGAGGAUGCAAGCGUUAUCCGGAUUCAUUGGGUUUAAAGGGUGCGCAGGCGGGCUUUUAAGUCAGUGGUGAAAAGCUGCCGCUUAACGGUAGUCUUGCCAUUGAUACUGAAGGUCUUGAGUUUGGAUGAGGUAGGCGGAAUGUGCAGUGUAGCGGUGAAAUGCAUAGAGAUUGCACAGAACACCGAUUGCGAAGGCAGCUUACUAAUCCACGACUGACGCUGAGGCACGAAAGCGUGGGGAUCAAACAGGAUUAGAUACCCUGGUAGUCCACGCUGUAAACGAUGUUCACUCGCUGUUUGCGAUACACAGUAAGCGGCUUAGCGAAAGCAUUAAGUGAACCACCUGGGGAGUACGAUCGCAAGGUUGAA
rnacentral:rRNA from 1 species